UCAGCGGCAGACGGGUGAGUAACACGUAGGUGACCUACCCUCGAGACGGGGAUAGCGGCUGGAAACAGUCGCUAAUACCCGAUAGACUUACCAGGUCAAAGCGGUAAGAAAAGCUACGGUGCUUGAGGAGGGGCCUGCGGCCCAUCAGCUAGUUGGUAGGGUAACGGGCUACCAAGGCGAAAAAGGGUUAGGGGGGUGGUGAAAGCCCAAGCCCCCACAAUGGGACUGCGACACGGGCCAUACUCCUACGGGAGGCAGCAGCAGGGAAUAUUGCACAAUGGACGGAAGUCUGAUGCAGCGACGCCGCGUGAGUGAAGACGGCCCUUCGGGUUGUAAAGCUCUUUUACGGGGGACGAGGAAGGACGGUACCCUGGGAAGAAGUGUCGGCUAACUACGUGCCAGCAGCCGCGGUAAGACGUAGGACACAAGCGUUAUCCGGAGUUACUGGGCGUAAAGCGCCUGCAGGCGGCCUGGUAAGUUGGACGUGAAAGCCCCGUGCUUAACGCGGGGAGGUCGGACAAUACUGCCAAGCUAGAGUGCGUCAGAGGGGAGUGGAAUUUCCGGAGUAGCGGUAAAAUGCGCAGAUAUCGGAAGGAACACCAGUGGCGAAAGCGACUCCCUGGGGCGCGACUGACGCUAAGAGGCGAAAGCUAGGGGAGCGAACAGGAUUAGAGACCCUGGUAGUCCUAGCCCUAAACGAUGGAUGCUAGGUGUGGGACGUAAAGUUCCGUGCCGGAGCCAACGCGAUAAGCAUCCCGCCUGGGGACUACGGUCGCACGGCUAAAACUCAAACGAAUUGACGGGGACCCGCACAAGCAGCGGAGCGUGUGGUUCAAUUCGAUGCUACACGAAGAACCUUACCUGGGUUUGACAUGUACGUGGUAGAGAAGCGAAAGCGGAUUGACCCUUCGGGGAGCGUACACAGGUGCUGCAUGGCUGUCGUCAGCUCGUGCCGUGAGGUGUCGGGUUAAGUCCCGUAACGAGCGCAACCCUUAUCCUUAGUUGCACGUAUCUAGGGAGACUGCCGGCGGGAAGCCGGAGGAAGGUGGGGAUGACGUCAAGUCAGCAUGGCCCUUAUGUCCAGGGCUACACACACGCUACAAUGGCCGGUACAAAGGGCAGCAAAGUCGCGAGGCGGAGCGAAUCCCAACAAAGCCGGUCGUAGUUCGGAUUGCAGGCUGCAACUCGCCUGCAUGAAGCUGGAGUUGCUAGUAACCGCGCGUCAGCUAUAGUGCGGUGAAUACGUACCCGGGUCUUGUACACACCGCCCGUCACGUCAUGGAAGUCGGUAACGCCUGAAGGCGGUAGCCUAGCUCGGAAGAGGGGGCGCUGUCGAAGGCGGGACUGG
rnacentral:rRNA from 1 species